rnacentral:rRNA from 1 species
UACGUAGGGUGCGAGCGUUGUCCGGAAUUAUUGGGCGUAAAGAGCUCGUAGGCGGCCACUCAAGUCGAAUGUGAAACCUCGAGGCUUAACCUCGAGCCUGCAUUCGAUACUGGGCGGCUAGAGUCUGGUAGGGGGAUCUGGAAUUCCUGGUGUAGCGGUGGAAUGCGCAGAUAUCAGGAGGAACACCGGUGGCGAAGGCGGGAUCCUGGGCCAGUACUGACGCUGAGGAGCGAAAGCGUGGGGAGCAAACAGG